CGACGGGUUCAUUCAAAUUUCUGCCCUAUCAACUUUCGAUGGUAAGGUAUUGGCUUACCAUGGUUUCAACGGGUAACGGGGAAUUAGGGUUCGAUUCCGGAGAGGGAGCCUGAGAAACGGCUACCACAUCCAAGGAAGGCAGCAGGCGCGCAAAUUACCCAAUCCCGACACGGGGAGGUAGUGACAAUAAAUACUGAUACAGGGCUCUUUUGGGUCUUGUAAUCGGAAUGAGUACAAUUUAAACCCCUUAACGAGGAACAAUUGGAGGGCAAGUCUGGUGCCAGCAGCCGCGGUAAUUCCAGCUCCAAUAGCGUAUAUUAAAGUUGUUGCAGUUAAAAAGCUCGUAGUUGAACCUUGGGCCUGGCUGGCCGGUCCGCCUCACCGCGUGUACUGGUCCGGCCGGGCCUUUCCUUCUGGAGAGCCCCAUGCCCUUCACUGGGUGUGCGGGGGAACCAGGACUUUUACUUUGAAAAAAUUAGAGUGUUCAAAGCAGGCCUUUGCUCGAAUACGUUAGCAUGGAAUAAUAGAAUAGGACGUGCGGUCCUAUUUUGUUGGUUUCUAGGACCGCCGUAAUGAUUAAUAGGGACAGUCGGGGGCAUCAGUAUUCAAUUGUCAGAGGUGAAAUUCUUGGAUUUAUUGAAGACUAACUACUGCGAAAGCAUUUGCCAAGGAUGUUUUCAUUAAUCAGUGAACGAAAGUUAGGGGAUCGAAGACGAUCAGAUACCGUCGUAGUCUUAACCGUAAACUAUGCCGACUAGGGAUCGGGCGAUGUUUCUAUCUUGACUCGCUCGGCACCUCACGAGAAAUCAAAG
rnacentral:rRNA from 1 species